AUUGAACGCUGGCGGCCGGCCUAACACAUGCAAGUCGAACGAGUGGCGGACGGGUGAGUAAUGUCUGGGAAUCUGCCUUAUGGAGGGGGAUAACUACGGGACACUGUCGCUAAUACCGCCUACCAUCGGAUGUGCCCAAGUGGGAUUAGGUAGUGGGUGGGGUAAUGGCUUACCAAGGCGACGAUCUCUAGCUGGUCUGAGAGGAUGACCAGCCACACCGGAACUGAGACACGGCCCAGACUCCUACGGGAGGCAGCAGUGGGGAAUAUUGCACAAUGGGGGCAAGCCUGACGCAGCCAUGCCGCGUGGAUGAAGAAGGCCUUCGGGUUGUAAAGUACUUUCAGAGAGGAGGCGUUACUCGCAGAAGAAGCACCGGCUAACUCCGUGCCAGCAGCCGCGGUAAUAC
rnacentral:rRNA from 1 species